UGGGGAAUAUUGCACAAUGGAGGGAACUCUGAUGCAGCAACGCCGCGUGCGGGAUGACGGCCUUCGGGUUGUAAACCGCUUUCAGCCAUGACGAAGCUUUUGUGACGGUAGUGGUAGAAGAAGCACCGGCUAACUACGUGCCAGCAGCCGCGGUGAUACGUAGGGUGCGAGCGUUGUCCGGAAUUAUUGGGCGUAAAGAGCUUGUAGGCGGUUUGUCGCGUCGAUAGUGUAAACACGCAGCUUAACUGUGUGCCUGCUGUCGAUACGGGCUGACUAGAGGAGGGUAGGGGGGAAUGGAAUUCCCGGUGGAGCGGUGGAAUGCGCAGAUAUCGGGAGGAACACCAGUGGCGAAGGCGGUUCUCUGGACCUUUCCUGACGCUGAGAAGCGAAAGCGUGGGUAGCAAGCAGG
rnacentral:rRNA from 1 species